rnacentral:rRNA from 1 species
CCCUUAGAUGUUCUGGGCUGCACGCGUGCUACACUGAUAUUGCCAAUAUGUCAUUCUUAUCCGAAAUGGAUUGGGUAAUCAAGUAAUGAAAUUUCAUGCUUGGAAUCGGUAAUUGCAAUUUUAUCGUGAACGAGGAAUUCCUAGUAAGCACUAGUCAUCAGCUAAUGUUGAUUAUGUCCCUGCCCUGUGUACACACCGCCCGUCGCUACUACUGAUUGGGUGUUCAAGUGAGAUGCUUAGACCCUUGUUGCAUGGUUCAUUAUUGUGCUCCGAAAGGAAAAAGUUUCAAGCUUGAGUGUCUAGAGGAAGUAAAAGUCGUAACA